GUUAAGCGACUAAGCGUACACGGUGGAUGCCCUGGCAGUCAGAGGCGAUGAAGGACGUGCUAAUCUGCGAUAAGCGUCGGUAAGGUGAUAUGAACCGUUAUAACCGGCGAUUUCCGAAUGGGGAAACCCAGUGUGUUUCGACACACUAUCAUUAACUGAAUCCAUAGGUUAAUGAGGCGAACCGGGGGAACUGAAACAUCUAAGUACCCCGAGGAAAAGAAAUCAACCGAGAUUCCCCCAGUAGCGGCGAGCGAACGGGGAGCAGCCCAGAGCCUGAAUCAGUGUGUGUGUUAGUGGAAGCGUCUGGAAAGGCGCGCGAUACAGGGUGACAGCCCCGUACACAAAAAUGCACAUGCUGUGAGCUCGAUGAGUAGGGCGGGACACGUGGUAUCCUGUCUGAAUAUGGGGGGACCAUCCUCCAAGGCUAAAUACUCCUGACUGACCGAUAGUGAACCAGUACCGUGAGGGAAAGGCGAAAAGAACCCCGGCGAGGGGAGUGAAAAAGAACCUGAAACCGUGUACGUACAAGCAGUGGGAGCACGCUUAGGCGUGUGACUGCGUACCUUUUGUAUAAUGGGUCAGCGACUUAUAUUCUGUAGCAAGGUUAACCGAAUAGGGGAGCCGAAGGGAAACCGAGUCUUAACUGGGCGUUAAGUUGCAGGGUAUAGACCCGAAACCCGGUGAUCUAGCCAUGGGCAGGUUGAAGGUUGGGUAACACUAACUGGAGGACCGAACCGACUAAUGUUGAAAAAUUAGCGGAUGACUUGUGGCUGGGGGUGAAAGGCCAAUCAAACCGGGAGAUAGCUGGUUCUCCCCGAAAGCUAUUUAGGUAGCGCCUCGUGAAUUCAUCUCCGGGGGUAGAGCACUGUUUCGGCAAGGGGGUCAUCCCGACUUACCAACCCGAUGCAAACUGCGAAUACCGGAGAAUGUUAUCACGGGAGACACACGGCGGGUGCUAACGUCCGUCGUGAAGAGGGAAACAACCCAGACCGCCAGCUAAGGUCCCAAAGUCAUGGUUAAGUGGGAAACGAUGUGGGAAGGCCCAGACAGCCAGGAUGUUGGCUUAGAAGCAGCCAUCAUUUAAAGAAAGCGUAAUAGCUCACUGGUCGAGUCGGCCUGCGCGGAAGAUGUAACGGGGCUAAACCAUGCACCGAAGCUGCGGCAGCGACGCUUAUGCGUUGUUGGGUAGGGGAGCGUUCUGUAAGCCUGUGAAGGUGUGCUGUGAGGCAUGCUGGAGGUAUCAGAAGUGCGAAUGCUGACAUAAGUAACGAUAAAGCGGGUGAAAAGCCCGCUCGCCGGAAGACCAAGGGUUCCUGUCCAACGUUAAUCGGGGCAGGGUGAGUCGACCCCUAAGGCGAGGCCGAAAGGCGUAGUCGAUGGGAAACAGGUUAAUAUUCCUGUACUUGGUGUUACUGCGAAGGGGGGACGGAGAAGGCUAUGUUGACCGGGCGACGGUUGUCCCGGUUUAAGCGUGUAGGCUGGUUUUCCAGGCAAAUCCGGAAAAUCAAGGCUGAGGCGUGAUGACGAGGCACUACGGUGCUGAAGCAACAAAUGCCCUGCUUCCAGGAAAAGCCUCUAAGCAUCAGGUAACAUCAAAUCGUACCCCAAACCGACACAGGUGGUCAGGUAGAGAAUACCAAGGCGCUUGAGAGAACUCGGGUGAAGGAACUAGGCAAAAUGGUGCCGUAACUUCGGGAGAAGGCACGCUGAUAUGUAGGUGAAGCGACUUGCUCGUGGAGCUGAAAUCAGUCGAAGAUACCAGCUGGCUGCAACUGUUUAUUAAAAACACAGCACUGUGCAAACACGAAAGUGGACGUAUACGGUGUGACGCCUGCCCGGUGCCGGAAGGUUAAUUGAUGGGGUCAGCGCAAGCGAAGCUCUUGAUCGAAGCCCCGGUAAACGGCGGCCGUAACUAUAACGGUCCUAAGGUAGCGAAAUUCCUUGUCGGGUAAGUUCCGACCUGCACGAAUGGCGUAAUGAUGGCCAGGCUGUCUCCACCCGAGACUCAGUGAAAUUGAACUCGCUGUGAAGAUGCAGUGUACCCGCGGCAAGACGGAAAGACCCCGUGAACCUUUACUAUAGCUUGACACUGAACAUUGAGCCUUGAUG
rnacentral:rRNA from 1 species